rnacentral:rRNA from 1 species
GCAAGUCGAGCGAGCUGAAUUCAAAGAUCCCUUCGGGGUGAUUUGUUGGACGCUUGCGGCGGAUGGGUGAGUAACACGUGGGCAAUCUGCCCUAAAGACUGGGAUACCACUUGGAAACAGGUGCUAAUACCGGAUAACAACAUGAAUCGCAGGAUUCAAGUUUGAAAGGCGGCUCAAGCUGUCACUUUUGGAUGAGCCCGCGGCGCAGUACCUAGUUGGUGGGGUAAGGGCCUACCAAGGCGAUGAUGCGUAGCCAAGUUGAGAGACUGAUCGGCCACAUUGGGACUGAAACACGGCCCAGACUCCUACGGGAGGCACCAAUAGGGAAUCUUCCACAAUGGACGCCGUCUGAUGGAGCAACGCCACGUGAGUGAAGAAGGUUUUCGGAUCGUAAAGCUCUGUUGUUGGUGAAGAAGGAUAGAGGCAGUAACUGGUCUUUAUUUGACGGUAAUCAACCACAAAGUCACGGCUAACUACCUGCCAGCAGCCGCGGUCAUACGUAGGUGGCAAGCGUUGUCCGGAUUUAUUGUGCGUAAAGCGAGCGCAUGCAGAAUGAUCAGUCUGAUGUGAAAGCCCACGGCUCAACCGUGGAACUGCAUCGG